GAGCUACUGGAAUUCCAGAUACACGUGCCCCUCGGAACGAGUGCUAGCUCCACAGACUCUUGUCAACUGACAUUCCUUCUUUGCAUUGGAUGCAAGAUUUUUUUAUGUGACAGAGUCAGGAAGUGUUAUACUAGACUUAAUGGCAUUUUGUGUACUCUGCAGUAGGGAGUUUUUAAUUCUCCAGAUUUUUUUUUUUUAACCUAAACAUGGGGAAAGGUUUGUGAGUUAAAGACAGGGUAUGAGUGCAGACAGAUUCUUUGCAACACCAUGGUGGGCCCUUUGCUUAAGUAUUUUCAUUUCCUUUGUUCAAUGGGAGAAAAUAAAAAAUUCCUGUGCUCAAGUUGGCCUUAUGAGACCAUAUUAUUUUGUAUCCAUCUCAAGAAAUAAAAGAAUAAUAAACGUUAUGACAUAACUGUGAGCAACAUUUUCUUUAAACCUCAGAUGAUGGGAUAAGCUAAUAACCAAUGGAGAGAGGAUGUAGAAACCAAAGUUCCAUAAUUACUCAUGGUACGGACUAUGUAUUAGCCUUUGCCAAGAUACAAUUAAACACCUGCCCCACCCUGUCCACAUCUCCUGACUCUUCAUGAUGCUCACAGAAUCAGAGAAAAUACAAGAAAGCAAAUGAAGUGAGAGCAGCAUCUCUGUGAGUGGUGGCAAAGGCUACAUUUAUAUUUAAGGUGAAGGUUCUAGUAGGACCUCUUCCCUAUUAGUACUUCAGACUGCACUUUGAGAACACAUCCACUGCAGAUGUGACUAAUUGAGGUAUGUUCACUCGCGUCAAUUAGAAAGCCAGAGGAAGUUGCUCUUUUCUUCAGUUGCUCUGUACCUCAUUUUUGAGCGGAGGUCUCUCAAACCUGAAGUGCAUCAGUUGGACUAGGCUGGGCAGCCAAAGAGCUCGAAG